UUACACAAGAAAGACAAGUGCCCUAAUCUUCUUCAUCCAAGUGCUUCAUUCAAGAGUCAAAAAGGAAGUGGUUGAGCAGACUCCAAGAGAUAUCAAAAGCUCCAUCCACCCUUGAAGAGUGAAGCAUUCUUGACAAAGAAGAGAGAAGUCUCAUCAAGCGAUAACUAUUCUCUAAACUCUUCUUUGUGGCUUAUAAAUGUUAUAUUUGCUCAUCUAGGAGCUUCAACUUUCUUCUUUCUUUUUA
rnacentral:lncRNA from 1 species